rnacentral:misc_RNA from 1 species
AUGAAGAACGGAGCGAAAUGCGAUAAGUAGUGUGAAUUGCAGAAUUCAGUGAAUCAUCGAAUCUUUGAACGCACAUUGCGCCCUUUGGUAUUCCUUAGGGCAUGCCUGUUCGAGCGUCAUUUAAACCUUCAAGCUCAGCUUGGUGUUGGGUGACUGUCCGCUUCACCGCGGACUCGCCUCAAAAUUAUUGGCGGCCGGUACAUUGGCUUCGAGCGCAGCAGAAACGCGAACUCGGGCCCGUCGUAUUGGCUCCCAGAAGCUAUCUUCACAAUUUUGACCUCGGAUCAGGUAGGGAUACCCGCUGAACUUAAGCAUAUCAAUAAGCGGAGGA